CAAAAAGGUGCUCGUAAUAUUCCCUUUUCUUCCCAAAGCGUCAUUCGUAUUUCUCAAUGCACUUGCUCUCCAUUGCUUCCUCUAUUUUCACUCCAACAAAUCCCUCUGCAACUUCAUGCCAUCUUCUGGAGAUCACUUGGAUGAUUGCCCCUCAUUCAGAUUUGCUAAAGGUCAGAUAUGUCAUAUUUGUCAGCUGCAUGAAGAAGGACAAGCCUGUGUGUGAGAAAUUCUUCAGUUUUUAUGCUACCAUAAAGAUAAUUGAGGAAUGCCUGGCAAGCAUCAAUGGACAUGUCUUCAAUGUUUAUAGUUGAUAGCUCCUUCUCCUUGAGGUUAUGCGAGAACAUGCUGCGAAAAACAGGGGAUCGGGCAGCAAGAACUGCACGAUGAGCUCCAAUGCUUCCAUCAGAUGCAUUGAUCAGUAUGUCUGUGUGGAUUCCUUCAGCUAGCAUUCGACCAAGAGCUUCAAGAGCCGUUGCAUUUGAUGCCUUCGGUGUAAGUCCUUCAGCCCAGAUGGAGGAAGGUUCUCCACCCUGCAUUACACCAGCAAGUUGUAAACGAGGUACGUAAUUAUUUAAGGUCAAUGAGUUUGUUCAGAAACUUUAUCUUGAUUGAACAUAUGAUUAGCAUGAUUCUUCUUCAUUCUCACUUAUUAUUUAUCAAGAUUGAGUGAAAGGGAUUGAUAUAAAGUGGUUGUGACUAGAUCAUUACAGUAGAUUAUAAUUUUCUCAAAGUGAGGCAAAAUAGAAGUCAAGGAAGUGUACGUUUGGAGAUGCAGUCUUUAAAUCAAGGAACUCGACGUCAACAAUGAAUUUCCCUGUUACUGGAACCUCGAGUGCCCAAACAAAGUCUUCGCUGUUCUUGAUCAGUCUGUCUUUCACGACUGUAUCAUGUAGAGUAGUAAUCAGUCAAAAAAUGACAAAUAUGUCAUCUUGUUAAGAAUUUUAGGACACUACACCUCCUCCCCAUGGAAAAUUACUGAGAAAUUUUGAAUAUGUAUACAUUGGAUAAUACAUAACACCUUUUCUAUCCUCCAAUUCAACUUUCAAAACAUAAGUCGGGCAAGGAGAGGAUCAAAUAUGGCAGUGUUGAACAGAGAAAAUUUCAUACCAUUAAUUCAUAUCCUUUUUUUCCAAAAUAAUAAUGAAUUAACAAGAAAAUAGAUUCGGCUCAUUCUGGAGUUUCAGUUCUUUAUUAAGAUUUUCACUGAACUCUUAAUCAUCAAGAGAAAACUCUUAUACAGAUGAUGAUUUAAAAAAAAAGGAAAACCCUCAACCUUCCUAGAAUUAUCCAGUUUAUCAAAGAAAGGGGGAAAAAAAAGCAGAACUCUGGUUACCUGGAUGGGUCAAGGCCUUGCGAUCCCCGGCAGAACUAACGACCCGAAUGAUAAAAGAUGCAAUCGGGGGAUUGUCUCUGGUUAUAUUCGAAAUUUCUGGGUAUAAUUUUAUAAAUAAAACCCGGUUCUUCUCCACGGCCAAAUGCCUUCACUUAAAAGAAAGAAAGAAACUCAGUCUAUUUCAAGUAGGAAACUUUCCCUUCAUUUUCUCUCAUUUUCUGAGCUAACAAACACUCAAUUAUAAUUUACAUGAAUUGAGGGUUGAGUGGCUUACCAGUUCCACUUGCCGAUCUUGAAAGGAUCAGAUUUGCGGUAAGUGCAGGAAGCAGGGUUUUCGAUUCUCCAUUGGGCGAGGCGCGACGUGGUUUCGACUCUGUAAGCAGAAUCGCUCAUCCUACCAGAAAAGGCAAGAGCCACAGUAAUUUCAUGGAUGCAAUCGAAGAUACCCUCCAACAGAAAUUCUCCGGGCUUUCCCAGGUUGACUAAUUCUUCUUAACCCUUCACUCCUCAUUCAUAAAAAAAGAUUAUACUCUGUUCUUCUUCACUCUGUUUCUCUCACUGUACAAGUGUAGCAAUUAAAGACACCAAAACCCAGAAAGACACAAAAUUUCCUAUAUGGGUUUUGAUUAUUUCUUAACUUCUCCCAAUAGUUCCGGGCACGCAAGGAUUUCGGAGUUGCUUCUACUCCAUUGAUAGUGAGCCUUUCCAGGAAGAGAGAGAGGAAGAAAAUAAUAUAUUUGAUGCAAAGCUAAGAAAGAGAGUUAGAGAGAGAGAGAGAGAGACUGAGCCAAAGAGAAGGAUUUGGUGGAAUUGUUGGCUUACACAACACUUUCUUUGGUGUGGGAUUGUGAUGGGUGAGAGAUAUAUAUGGCUGAUUAUUGAUUGCUUGCACCAUUGAUUCAUUGAUGGAAAUACGAGAGGCAUACGUGGAUUGUAGUAUUGACCUUGCCGGACCUGCUUGCAAGGGAAAAGCAUAUUUUAAUUUUUGGUGCUUUGAAGCAAAGUAUCUAUCUAUCAAUCCUUUGGAAAUUUCCAAAUGACCCUUCACUGUUUUUGGCUUUGGAAACAAUAAAUAUACUUUGUUUUACCUCUCAAAAUACCAUUGCCUCUCUGGGUUUCUCUCUUUGACUCUCUCUCUCUCUCUCUCUCUCUCUCUCAACUUUCAGGCAAUGAAUUAUUCUGUUGUUCAGGGAGUGAGCAGUAUUGUAUUUUAUUGCCUUCUGAAAUGGGUAGAGAGGAACAGUCCAUACUCAGGAAAAUCAGUUUCAUACCGUACGUGCCCAUUCCUCCAUGGUGAUGUUUACUAGUGGACCAAUAAAAACGCUUCACGUUUUGAACAUUAUCUGCUUUCUUGACCUUUUCUGCAUAAUUAGUUGGCCUCAAUCUGAUCCUCGUCGUCUCUUUCUGAUCUUAGUUACGGAGAAGAAGAUGAAGAAAGGCCAAGUGUAUUUAUGGUUUCACCGAUGAUUCUGCAGAUAAAACAGGUGAGGUAUUGAUUGUUGUGAUUGUUAUUAUUAGUUCAGGAAGUUUUCCAGAAUUAGUGAGCCAACAAUGUUUUUUUCCCCUCUUCUUUCUCUUGUUGGUUCGAGGUAAGAUGAAGAUAAGUGAAGCUUCUUGUUGGGGGAGGAAUUCCAAAAGCUCAAAAAAUCAAUGUAAUUAAAGAAUCACAAGGAAAUACCUUUCGUACCCAGCUUCAGCUGUUUAAUCUUUAAUCACUUGAGAAAUUAGCCGCAC